rnacentral:misc_RNA from 1 species
UUGGAAAAAAAAAAGAGAAGGUUCUAGAAUUAGGGGAGGAAGAAAUUGUGCUUAUGGCUGGUUCGAAAAUGGAGGGGUCAUCAGCUCCAGCUGUAAGGAGAGACCCAUAUGAGGUAUUGUCUGUAGCAAGGGAUUCAUCUGAUCAAGAGAUUAAAAGUGCUUAUAGAAAGCUCGCACUCAAGUAUCAUCCCGACAAGAAUGCUAACAAUCCUGAAGCUUCAGAACUCUUCAAAGAGGUUGCAUAUUCCUAUGGUGUUCUAUCUGAUCCUGAAAAAAGGAGGCAAUAUGAUAUGGCAGGUUUUGAGGCUAUUGAUG